GGGCUCUCUUUGACAGCACAUAUACUAAAAUUGGAACAGCACAGAGAAGAUUAGCAUGGCUCCUGUGCAAGAAUGAUGCACAAAUUUGUGAAGCAUUUCAUAUUUUA
ensembl:snRNA U6 U6 spliceosomal RNA